UGGAAUGGAGCGUCAUAGAGGGUGAGAAUCCCGUCUCUGACACGGACUACCAGGGCUUUGUGGUAUGCUCUCAAAGAGUCGAGUAGUUUGGGAAUGCAGCUCUAAAUGGGUGGUAAAUUCCAUCUAAAGCUAAAUAUUGGCGAGAGACCGAUAGCGAACAAGUACCGUGAGGGAAAGAUGAAAAGAACUUUGGAAAGAGAGUUAAACAGUACGUGAAAUUGGUGAAAGGGAAACGCUUGAAGUCAGUCGCGUUAGCUAGGAAUCAGCCUUGCUUUUGCUUGGUGUACUUUCUCGUUGACGGGUCAGCAUCAAUUUUGAGUGCUGGAAAAAGUCCUUGGGAAUGUGGCAGCUUUGGCUGUGUUAUAGCCCUUUGUCACAUACAGCAGUUGGGAUUGAGGAACUCAGCACGCCGCAAGGCCGGGUUUCGACCACGUUCCUGCUUAGGAUGCUGGCAUAAUGGCUUUAAGCGACCCGUCUUGAAACACGCACCAAGGAGUCUAUACAUGCCUGCGAGUGUUUGGGUGGUAAACCCUUGGGAGUAAUGAAAGUGAAAGUUGAGAUCCCCGUCGUGGGGAGCAUCGACGCCCGGUCUUGAACUUUUGUGACGGAUCCGCGGUAGAGCAUGUAUGUUGGGACCCGAAAGAUGGUGAACUAUGCCUGAAUAGGGUGAAGCCAGAGGAAACU
rnacentral:rRNA from 1 species